rnacentral:rRNA from 1 species
GACGAACGCUGGCGGCGUGCUUAACACAUGCAAGUCGAACGAAGUGGCGAACGGGUGAGUAACGCGUAAUCAACCUGCCCUUCAGAGGGGGACAACAGUUGGAAACGACUGCUAAUACCGCAUACUGAAGGAGGGGUUUGCGUCGGAUUAGCUAGUUGGGGGGGUAACGGCCCACCAAGGCGAUGAUCAGUAGUCGGGUUUAGAGGAUGAACGGCCACAUUGGGACUGGGACACGGCUCAGACCCCUACGGGAGGCAGCAGUGGGGAAUCUUUCGGAAUUGACGAAAGUCUGACGGAGCAACUCCGCGUGAGUGAUGACGGCCUUCGGGUUGUAAAGCUCUGUUAAUCGGGACGCGGUACCGGAAUAGAAAGCCACGGCUAACUACGUGCCAGCAGCCGCGGUAAUUC